GGGGCCGAAUUGGAUUCGACCGGACACGCGCUGCGCAUCGUGGCGCGUCGCGGCGCACGCUGGCCGCGUCAACAAGCGUGCAACACUUGAUAACUGCCAACAAGCAGUUCGCUCUCGCUGCCUGAGAUUCAGGCGCGCGAGCGUCGUCCCACGCCCGAUAGGACGACGCUCGACAGACAUCGGGCUGGCCGCUGCACACUGCCUUGGGGUGCAUCGGUGAGAAACCACUCGGGGCUGGGCCGAAGCGCAGGGUGUCGGCGCCCGACGCGAGGCUGAGAUUAAAUCACCGACUACACGCGUAGAGGCGAUGCGUGGACGGUCUCGGGACGGGGGUUCGAUCCCCCCCGGCUCCACUU
rnacentral:tmRNA from 1 species